UAUAGUCUAUAUAUAAUUGUAUAGAAUCUUUUUUCAUCGGGAUUAGUAAUCAGUGCUUCGGUAAAUCGAUAUCGACCGGAUGUUUCUGUAAUUAUACCUAAAAUAUUAUCUUGUUUUCUAUCGACUGAAGAAGACCAUUCAGACAUGAAGAAGUUAUGGGUGAACUGGCUCUUACUUCUUAUUUCAAUAGCAACAGCCGAAAAAUCGAACGAUACAAUCGGAAACCUAAUUGGCAAUGGAUUACAUUGUACGACUCGUGAAUGUGUGAAAGAUAAUUUGGAAUUUGAACUGACUAUGUUAAAUAAUAUAAACCCAAGUGUAAAUCCUUGUGAAGAUUUUUAUGAAUUUGCUUGUGGAAAUUUCCACAAUGUUCCUGACAAUGACAUUGUUCAGCAUACACAACACAAGGAAUUUCAUCAUGUUAUCGACGAUAUGUUUUCGAAAAUGUUUUACAUAAUAAAAAAAAAGCCUUCCGUUGGAGUCAUUUAAACCGUUCAACUUCCUAAGAGAUUUCUUAAUGUCUUGUGAAAGAUUGAACAAUAACAAUGAUGCUUUCUACCCCGGAAUUAAGAACGACAAUCUGGAUUAUUUGAAAGAAAUUAUUUCAAAAUUUGGUGGUUGGCCAGUCGUAGAAAGUGAUAAAUGGAACAAAACGAAUGACAACUGGACCAAUUUUAUCGAUGAAGCAGAGAACGUACGUUACCUUUAUUUUCAUUUCUAUGGAUUACGCAGUCAAUCAAUAGGAAACCGUACAAUGAUAUUAAAAACCAAAUUUCCUACAAAAAAGGUCAUGUACUUUUUUUCUCUAAACUCAACCGUUCAUGAGUCAAUAGCAAAAAACCAUCAAUUUGAUACAAAAUUUGACAUUAAAGACUCACAGGAGAGCUAGAGUUUAACUCAGAGCUAAGCGGAUACUGGCUUUUUUUAAAGAUUAUACAAUUCUCUUUAAGAAAAACUUUGGGCCGAUACGAUACAUAAAUGGAGGACUGAGUUUUAUUCAUUGAAAAGCAAAUAAACUAAAUUUACGUGCUUGUAACAUGGAAAAACUACGACGACGUUGUUCCAGUGGUUUAUAUUAAUAUUAAGAGCUCAAAAUUGGACUAAAUUUUUAUUUUAACAUAUAGAGGAAGAUUUUCGAUGGAGAGUGAAAAAUAAAAAAUGUUCGUUUCAAACGGAGCACCCUAAUACACAUACUUCAGGGUGCCACAUCUUGUGCCUAACGGAGGUUACACGAAACACACACUUGCAUCAAAAGUAAAAUUGUGUAGCGACACGUACGGAUGAACGAAAGACAGAUAAAAGUUACGUUCGGAGAAACGUAGGAAUGUAGAAUGUGAUGGAUGUAUAAUGUCCGCUCUGAUGAACGUAAUCUCUGAAUCAAGUUCUCUUCGAUAAACCGAACGUUUGGUUAAAGUGAGAUUUGUAGAAACGGAAGAACGGAAAACGAGACAUUUGUAGAAACAGAGGAAUGGAGAAUGAGACGUUUGAAUAAACACGGGUAACGAAGAACGAGACGUUUGUAGAAACAGAGGAACGAAGAUCGUGACAUGUGAACAGCGUGUGAAACGGUUAACGUGAGGUUAGUUGAUAGUGACGUAUGUUGAAAAAAAUUAUUUGACAAAACCGACCGACUAAAUGCCGUCAACGUAACGGUCGGUACUGUUCCAAAAUCAGUAUCAGCAAAACAGGGAAAUGGAGUCCAGGAAUGCUAGCAGGUUAUUAGAGACUUAGAAAGGACCUGGCAGAAGCCAAAUAUUGACGAAAAUCAUAAGUAUUUAUUGUACACUAAGUAAAAAUUUCUCUAAGUGUAGUUGAUUUUUGU